rnacentral:rRNA from 1 species
CCAAUAGCGUAUAUUAAAGUUGUUGCAGUUAAAAAGCUCGUAGUUGAAUUUCGGGAUCAAAUUGUCGGUCGUGCCUCGGUACGCACUGGCGUUAUUGGUUCCUCCCUUCUGAAGAACCGCGAUGUCAUUAAUUUGGUGUCGCGGGGAAUCAGGACUGUUACUUUGAAAAAAUUAGAGUGUUUAAAGCAGGCUCGCGCUUGAAUACAUUAGCAUGGAAUAAUGAAAUAGGACGUUUGAUUCUAUUUUGUUGGUUUCUAGGAUCGACGUAAUGAUUAAUAGGGUUAGUUGGGGGCAUUAGUAUUCAAUUGUCAGAGGUGAAAUUCUUGGAUUUAUUGAAGACUAACUACUGCGAAAGCAUUUGCCAAGGAUGUUUUCAUUAAUCAAGAACGAAAGUUAGGGGAUCGAAGACGAUCAGAUACCGUCGUAGUCUUAACCAUAAACUAUGCCGACUAGGGAUCGGAUGAUGUUAAUUUUUUAAUGACUCAUUCGGCGCCUUACG